UACGUAGGGUCCGAACGUUAUCCGGAAUUAUUGGGCGUAAAGAGUUCGUAGGUGGUUUUGUAAGUUGGGUAUUAAAUCUAUCGGCUCAACCGAUAAACUGUACUCAAAACUGCAUUACUUGUGGUUUGCAGGGGCAGAUGGAAUUCAUGGUGUAGCAGUGGAAUGCGUAGAUAUCAUGAAGAACACCAAUGGCGAAGGCAGUCUGCUAGGCUCAUCCAGACACUGAGGAACGAAAGCGUGGGUAGCGAACGGG
rnacentral:rRNA from 1 species